rnacentral:rRNA from 1 species
AAAUAGAACUUUGCAGAGAGAGUUAACAGGGCGUGAAACCGUUAAUUGAGAAACGAAUCGGAGCCACGAAGUCGUUUCGCUGUUUAGUUGGAUCAGGUUCAGCUGAUGAGCAAAAAACUCAUUGGUGUAUUCUUGUGUCCAACCUAACCUUGUAAGCGUACACUGCAACCAGUUAGACGAUUGGCCAUGGGCCCAGUUCGGAUUAGUAGUAGUGCGGUGUACUUCGGUGCAUUUGUAUUGCUGGAUYCGUGGCAAGUGAACUAUGGCCAAAUACUGACUGGCGAAAUGAAAAUCGCGUUUAGUCGCGUUUUAAAUAAUGCAGCUAGUUGUAUAAGUGUCUACACAUUCGACUAGCGGGUCUAAGCUCAGCUCCUUUGAAUUUGGACUUGCUUGCUACCAGUGGGGCAACUCCUGGUGCUUGUAUAGCUUCAUCUAAUCGGGUGUUGACUUGGCACGCUAUGUUCUGGUGUGCUACGAUUGGGCGCUAAUAUAAUCUGGUUCGCUAUGAUUGGCAGUGAGUAGGUCGGCUUUCCGAACGACCCGUCUUGAAACACGGACCAAGGAGUCUAGUUAGGCAUCGAGUCGAUCGGUCUUGAAUAGGCCAGACUUGUGAGAGCUCUCGCUGAAGGCGUAGAGAUCGUGUGAUCAUGCAGGCAAACCAGCCUACAUGCGCAACAUGUGCCUGUUCGUAUAGCAAUGUAGCAAUAAUUGCUGAGCGGAGCAAAGAGAUGCCUGAUUGGGACCCGAAAGAUGGUGAUGCUUGGGCAAAUUGAAGCCAGAGGAAACUCUGGUGGAGGAUUUAGCUGACGUGCAAAUCGAUCGUCAGACCUGAGUAUAGGGGCGAAAGACUAAUCGAACCAUC